UGACCUGGGCUACACACGUGCUACAAUGGUUGGUACAACGAGUUGCGAGUCGGUGACGGCGAGCUAAUACUCUUAAAGCCAAUCUCAGUUCGGAUUGUAGGCUGCAACUCGCCUACAUGAAGUCGGGAUCGCUAGUAAUCGCGGAUCAGCACGCCGCGGUCGAAUACGUUCCGGGCCUU
rnacentral:rRNA from 1 species